GCCAGGCAUGGUGAUGCACGCCUGUAGUCCUAGCAACUCAGGAGGCUGAGACAGGAGGAUCACGAGUUCGAAGCCAGCCGUACCACAGCGAGGCCUUAAGCCACUUAGUGAGGCCUUGUCUCUA
rnacentral:sRNA from 1 species